UUUUCAUGAAGAAUGAGGACAGUUUUUAUGGAUAUACAACUUCUUUAUUCUGUAUAGGCGACGUUUUGACAUAUAUCCUAAUGUCGUUGUCAAUCAAAUAGUGAGGUAGACA